rnacentral:rRNA from 1 species
CCUACGGGUGGCUGCAGUGGGGAAUAUUGCACAAUGGGCGCAAGCCUGAUGCAGCCAUGCCGCGUGUGUGAAGAAGGCCUUCGGGUUGUAAAGCACUUUCAGCGGGGAGGAAGGCGGUGAGGUUAAUAACCUCAUCGAUUGACGUUACCCGCAGAAGAAGCACCGACUAACUCCGUGCCAGCAGCCGCGGUAAUACGGAGGGUGCAAGCGUUAAUCGGAAUUACUGGGCGUAAAGCGCACGCAGGCGGUCUGUCAAGUCGGAUGUGAAAUCCCCGGGCUCAACCUGGGAACUGCAUUCGAAACUGGCAGGCUAGAGUCUUGUAGAGGGGGGUAGAAUUCCAGGUGUAGCGGUGAAAUGCGUAGAGAUCUGGAGGAAUACCGGUGGCGAAGGCGGCCCCCUGGACAAAGACUGACGCUCAGGUGCGAAAGCGUGGGGAGCAAACAGGAUUAGAUACCCUUGUAGUC